rnacentral:rRNA from 1 species
GGGGGAUAUUGGACAAUGGGGGGAACCCUGAUCCAGCGACGCCGCGUGAGUGAAGAAGUAUCUCGGUAUGUAAAGCUCUAUCAGCAGGGAAGAAGAAAUGACGGUACCUGAGUAAGAAGCCCCGGCUAACUAC